GACGGGGGGGGCUAGUGUUAUUCGGAAUGACUAGGCGUAAAGGGCACGUAGGCGGUGAAUCCGGUUGAAAGUGAAAGUCGCCAGCUCAACUGGCGGAAUGCUUUCAAAACCAAUUCACUUGAGUAAGAUAGAGGAUAGUGGAAUUUCGUGUGUAGAGAUAAAAUUCACAGAUAUACGAAGGAACACCAAAAGCGAAGGCAGCUUUCUGGGUCUCUACUGACGCUGAGGUGCGAAAGCAUAGGGAGCAAACAGGAUUAGAUACCGUGUAGUCC
rnacentral:rRNA from 1 species